GAUGAACGCUAGCGGCAGGCCUAACACAUGCAAGUCGAGGGGCAGCGAGGGUAGCAAUACCUGUCGGCGACCGGCGCACGGGUGAGUAACGCGUAUGCAACCUACCCUUCACAGGGGGAUAGCCCGCCGAAAGGCGGAUUAAUACCCCAUGGCCCCAUUGUCCGGCAUCGGAUGAUGGGUAAAGGAGCAAUCCGGUGGAGGAUGGGCAUGCGUGCCAUUAGCUAGUUGGCGGGGUAACGGCCCACCAAGGCGACGAUGGCUCGGGGGGUCUGAGAGGAUGGUCCCCCACACUGGUACUGAGACACGGACCAGACUCCUACGGGAGGCAGCAGUGAGGAAUAUUGGUCAAUGGGCGGAAGCCUGAACCAGCCAUGCCGCGUGCAGGAAGACGGCCCUACGGGUUGUAAACUGCUUUUCCGGGGGAAGAAUAAGGGCGACGUGUCGCCCGAUGCCGGUACCCCGGGAAUAAGGAUCGGCUAACUCCGUGCCAGCAGCCGCGGUAAAGUCUGUACU
rnacentral:rRNA from 1 species